GGAGAUGAACCGGAUUCAUUCGAAGGGGUUUGGGAAGGUGAUUAGGUGGUGAUGAAGGUGGUGGAGGGUGAUGAAUGAGGUGGAGGGUGAUUGGUGAGGUGAGAUGAGGUGAAAGGGGUGGUUUGGGUCGGGUUUGGAUGUCAACGACCAAGUGCCGCGGUCAGGGGCCAUACGACCGCGGCAACCAAGCGCUUGGCCGCGGUCAGAACUACGCGACCGCGGUCGAUGAUAGGUUUCCCGCGGUCAGAACGUCUGCGACCGCGGGGGCUUAUAUCGCGGCCUCUUCCUGCUUCUCCUUGGUUUCUGCUGGGCCGAGCAAUCAGGUACCAUCCUUCUUU
rnacentral:lncRNA from 1 species